AGAGUUUGAUCCUGGCUCAGAACGUACGCUGGCGGCACGCCUAACACAUGCAAGUCGAACGAAGUAGCAAUACUUAGUGGCAGACGGGUGAGUAACAUGUAGGUAUCUGCCCUUUGGCCUGGAAUAACACGAGGAAACUUGUGCUAAUACCGGAUAAGUCUUUACGGAGAAAGCUUUAUGCACCAUUGGAUGAGCCUGCACUUGAUUAGUUUGUUGGUGGGGUAAUGGCCUACCAAGACUGUGAUCAAUAGCUGAUUUGAGAGGAUGAUCAGCCACAUUGGGACUGAGACACGGCCCAAACUCCUACGGGAGGCAGCAGUGGGGAAUCUUGCACAAUGGAGGAAACUCUGAUGCAGCGAUGCCGCGUGAGUGAAGAAGGCCCUUGGGUUGUAAAGCUCUUUCGUCGGGGAAGAAAAUGACUGUACCCGAAUAAGAAGGUCCGGCUAACUUCGUGCCAGCAGCCGCGGUAAUACGAAGGGACCUAGCGUAGUUCGGAAUUACUGGGCUUAAAGAGUUCGUAGGUGGUUGAAAAAGUUAGUGGUGAAAUCCCAGAGCUUAACUCUGGAACUGCCAUUAAAACUUUUCAGCUAGAGUAUGAUAGAGGAAAGCAGAAUUUCUAGUGUAGAGGUGAAAUUCGUAGAUAUUAGAAAGAAUACCAAUUGCGAAGGCAGCUUUCUGGAUCAUUACUGACACUGAGGAACGAAAGCAUGGGUAGCGAAGAGGAUUAGAUACCCUCGUAGUCCAUGCCGUAAACGAUGUGUGUUAGACGUUGGAAAUUUAUUUUCAGUGUCGCAGGGAAACCGAUAAACACACCGCCUGGGGAGUACGACCGCAAGGUUAAAACUCAAAUGAGUUGACGGGGACCCGCACAAGUAGUGGAGCAUGUGGUUUAAUUCGAAGAUACGCGCAGAACCUUACCAACACUUGACAUGUUCGUCGCGACUCUAAGAGAUUAGAGUUUUCGGUUCGGCCGGACGAAACACAGGUGCUGCAUGGCUGUCGUCAGCUCGUGUCGUGAGAUGUUGGGUUAAGUCCCGCAACGAGCGCAACCCUCACUUUUAGUUGCCAUCAUUAAGUUGGGCACUCUGAAAGAACUGCCAGUGAUAAGCUGGAGGAAGGUGGGGAUGACGUCAAGUCCUCAUGGCCCUUACGUGUUGGGCUACACACGUGCUACAAUGGUAUCUACAACAGGAAGCAAGACUGCGAAGUUAAGCAAAUCCCUAAAAGAUACCUCAGUUCGGAUUGCACUCUGCAACUCGAGUGCAUGAAGCUGGAAUUACUAGUAAUCGUGGAUCAGCGUGCCACGGUGAAUGCGUUCCCGGGUCUUGUACACACCGCCCGUCACACCAUGGGAGUUGGUUCUACCUUAAGGCAAGGUUUCAAACCCUUGACCACGGUAUAGUCAGCGACUGGGGUGAAGUCGUAACAAGGUA
rnacentral:rRNA from 1 species